UACGGGGGGUGCGAGCGUUAUCAGGAAUCACUGGGUUUAAAGGGUGCGUAGGCGGCUCGGUAAGUCAGUUGAGAAAGCACCUUGCUUAACGAGGGAGGUGCGAUUGAUACUGUCGAGCUUGAAUCGGGAUGAGGCAGGCGGAAUGUGGCAUGUAGCGGUGAAAUGCAUAGAUAUGCCAUAGAACACCGAUUGCGAAGGCAGUCGGUUGGGCCUGUAUUUACGCUGAGGCACUAAAUCGUGGGGAACAAACAUG
rnacentral:rRNA from 1 species